GCGGAAGGAUCAUUGUCGAAACCUGCAA
rnacentral:rRNA from 1 species